rnacentral:rRNA from 1 species
GACGUAGGGCGCAAGCGUUGUCCGGAUUUAUUGGGCGUAAAGAGCUCGUAGGCGGCUCGUUGCGUCGGCUGUGAAAACCCGCAGCUCAACUGUGGGCUUGCAGCCGAUACGGGCGGGCUGGAGUUCGCUAGGGGAGACUGGAAUUCCUGGUGUAGCGGUGAAAUGCGCAGAUAUCAGGAGGAACACCGGUGGCGAAGGCGGGUCUCUGGGCCACUACUGACGCUGAGAAGCGAAAGCGUGGGGAGCGAACAGG